AUUGUGUGACCCAUCAUUCCCUCCACAUACAAACCCCAAAGUCUAUAUCUCCAUCUAAGGUUUUCGAGUGACUGGGCACGGGCAGUCCAUUGGUAAAUAUAAUUGUCCAAAGAUUAGUGUGGGACUCUGUUUUCUGCACCACAGAUGGACAAGAGUUUAUCACCUGUUUAUGCUGAAGGGGUUAACAAUUUCCUUACAAUGGCACGAACCCAUUCCAUGGGAAGUGAUCGCAUUCGGUGUCCGUGCUGUAUAUGCUGUAAUAAUCUCUUCUUGCCUAUAUUUGAGGUGGAGUCUCACUUGUUUAUAAAAGGGAUAGAUCCAAACUACACCCAUUGGAUAUUUCAUGGGAAGGAGGAAACACUCCCCAUCAUUGACGAUGAUGACGAUCCCAGAGUUGAAAGUGGAGACGUCUACAUUAAUGACAUGAACCGUAUGUUCGAUGACAUACGGGCAGCCACAUUUGGAGAUACUCCUGAAGACAACACUACAUCACCAACUCACUCAUCAAUACCAUAGUCCUCCCAAAACUCAACUUUUGACCAACUAUUAGAGGAUGCCAGAUGUCCUCUUUUCGAUGGCUGCACAAAAUUCUCUAAGCUCUCUUUCGUUGUGAAGUUGUUACACAUUAAAACACUUGGUGUGUGGUCAAUCAAGUCUUUUGAUAUGCUCCUAAGCCUUUUGCAGUCAGUCUUUCCUAAUGCUGAAUUGCCACAAUCAUAUGAGGAGCCAAGGACAUUGGAGCGAGGUUUGGGUUUCACGAACCACAAAAUUCAUGCAUGCCCUAAUGACUGCAUCUUAUUCUAAAAGGAAAAUGUUAAUCUUAAUGAGUGCCCUAUCUGUAAAGCAUCGCGAUGGAUGCCAAAUACACACGGGUCACAAUUGACCCCUCAAAAAGUGCUUCGGCAUUUUCUUUUGAAGCCAAGAUUGCAUCGUCAAUUUGUGUCUAGCAAGACAGCAGGUAACAUGAGAUGACAUAAGGAGUAGUGGGUCACCAAUGAGACUAGUAUGAGACAUCCUGCCGACUCUAAGUCCUGGAAGACAUUUGAUCAAGCUCACCCCAUAUUUGCUAGGGAUGCUCGCAAUGUUAGGCUUGGUUUGGCAAGUGACAGAUUUAAUCAUUUCAACAAUCUGGCUAAACCUUAUAGUAUUUGGCCAGUGAUUCUUAUCCUGUAUAACUUACCGCCGUGGUUAUGCAUGAAAGACUUGUUCUUCAUGACAUCCCUCAUUAUCCCUGGCCCAAAAUCACCAGGGAAUGACAUUGAUGUUUAUUUGCAACCCUUAAUUGAUGAGUUACUUGAACUUUGGGACCAUGGGGUACCUACAUAUGUGCAUCUAGUAAGGAAAUGUUCAUGUUACAUGUUGUCUUAUUGUGGACAAUCAAUGACUUUCCCGCCUAUGGAAAUCUAUCUGGGUGGUCAACAAAAGGGCAAAUGGCAUAUUCGUCUUGCAAUGCAUGUACAGAUUCCAACUGGUUGAAGUAUGACAGAAAACAUUGUUAUAUGGGACAUCGACGUCUCUUACUGAGAGAUCACAUUUGGUGAACUAGAAAUGGGUUGUUCAAUGGUAAAGAAGAUGUUUGCAUGCCACUAACAUUGGUUGAAGGAGCGGAUCUUUUAACUCAAUUACAAAUACUUGGAGAUAUUCAAUUUGGAAAAUCUUGUAGGAAGAGGAAACGCACUGCAGAAGAGUUGAACUGAACAAAGAAAAGCAUCUUCUUCAAACUACCUUCUUGGUCAACUUUGCGGCUUAGACAUAAUCUAGAUGUUAUGCGUAUUGGGAAGAAUAUUUUCGAGAACAUUUUGGGCACUUUUAUGAACAUUCCCGACAAGACAAAGAUAACACUAAUUCAUGCCAUGACCUAGAGAUCUUGGGCUUCAGAAAGGAAUUACAUUUGAAACGUGAAGGUGAACGUGUUACAAUGCCACAUGCAUCAUACACAUUACAUGGAGAUGAAAGGAAUAAAUUCUAUGAGUGGCUUGCUUAGGUUAAAUAUUCAGAUGGGUUCGCUGCCAAUAUCACUCAUUGUGUAUCUAUACGUGAUUCCAAAAUCUCUGGGCUCAAAAGCCAUGAUCAUCAUGUUUUCUUGCAAACACUGCUUCCUAUUGCUAUGGGGGGUUCUUAAAGAGGGAUAUUGCAUUGGCUUUGACUGAACUUAGUAGUUUCUUCAAAGAGUUGUGCGCCUGAACACUAGAUGUGAAUCGUCUAUCAAAGCUUCAACUUGAUAUCGUCACCAUUCUAUGCAAACUGUAGAUGAUAUUCCCUCCAUCUUGUUUCGAUGUUAUGGUCCACCUAGCUGUACACUUACCCCGUGAGGCCAUUCUCGGAGGUCCAGUUCAAUAUCUAUGGAUAUACCUGUUUGAGAGGUUUCUCGGGAAAUUCAAGCAGUAUGUUAAGAAUAAAGUGCGUCCAGAAGGUUCAAGAGUGGAAGCCUGGGUUCACAUCGAGUGUUUGACAUUUUGCUCUAUGUAUCUCCAAGAUGUUGAGACGGAUCUUACUACUUAUUGAAUACUUUAAAAACUAAUGGUAAAUCUCUGUUGGACUUGACAACUUGUUGUACAUGAUAACUAAUACCAUGUAUGUACGUGGUAUGAACUCUGCGGGUCAUGUUAUGCAACACAAUUAUACUUUCCUUGGCAUGCUUGGAUAUAUAGAUUGAGAGUUGGGACUGUGUGAUGAGGCCCAAAAUAGAACCUGUGUCAUUUGCAGAAAUUCAAAAGAGGAUAAUAUUUACAGGACUCUGGAGCAACGGUUCAAAUGUUAAAGAAGUGGUUUGGGAAUGUGCUGAUGAUUACCUCUAGUAAUUACGCUGCUGGAUCUUUGUUUGCACAAUGCAAGUCGAAGGGGUAUACAUAUGGUUUGUAUAGUUUGAGGGUGCAACGAAGUUCAGUUCCAGCCACCAAUGUAUUAUCCAAAAUGAUCUCCACUUCCAUAGCAUCUGAACCAGUGGCAAUGUGUGUUUAUUGAGAAUGUGACUCUUGAAUAUAUCCAUAUGUAUGCUUGACAGAUAAUAUUAGCUGCUCUGCUCCGAUUUAUAGUUCACUACUUUCCAUUAAUGCACCAUGCCAAUGUAUUGAUUACUAAAAGAAUUAAUACAAUGUUGUAUUGGAUGAUUGAAUUUAUAUCAUUCAAAAGUGGUAUAUAUGGUUGUUAAAUGCCAAGUAUUUGGAUGAAUGUAUGUUUUUGGUUUA